rnacentral:rRNA from 1 species
UACGUAGGGCGCAAGCGUUGUCCGGAAUUAUUGGGCGUAAAGAGCUCGUAGGCGGUCUGUCGCGUCGGUCGUGAAAACUUGGGGCUUAACCCUGAGCUUGCGGUCGAUACGGGCAUGACUGGAGUUCGGUAGGGGAGACUGGAAUUCCUGGUGUAGCGGUGAAAUGCGCAGAUAUCAGGAGGAACACCGGUGGCGAAGGCGGGUCUCUGGGCCGAUACUGACGCUGAGGAGCGAAAGCGUGGGGAGCGAACAGG